rnacentral:lncRNA from 15 species
UGAAUGGUAAAAUAACGAAGCUGUACGACACAACCAAAGGUGGCAUAAGGGAAAUGUUGCGUGGAGAAAAACUCGCACUGACCACUGAUGGGUGGAGUUCUUUGGCUACUGAGUCCUAUGUUACGGUCACAGCCCAUUUCAUCGACGAGGACUGGGAGAUAAGAAAUGUCGUCCUGGACACGUCUGAGCUUCUACCGCUCACACAGCAGCGAAUGUCUCCACAUACAUCGACAGUAUUCUACAAGAGUACCACAUUGAGCGGGAGUCUGUGCUUGCCAUCACAACAGACAAUGCGACCAACUAUGUCAAUGCUGUAGAGAGGUACUUGGGGAUCAUGGAUAUCCGAUGCAUGGCUCACACAAUUAACUUGGCAGCGAGAAAAGGGCUUGCAGAGCGUUCCUUUGCAACAACAGUCAGUCGCCUGAAGGCUGCUGCUCAGCAUUUCAAGCACUCCCCUACAGACAGCUACCUCCUUGAGUCCAAGCAGAAACUCCUUGGUCUCAAACCAGUCCAGCUCAUCAACGACUGCCCCACCCACUGGAACAGUACAUACAAUAUGAUCUGUCGGGCAGCUGAUCAACAAGCUGCUGUUGCAGCGGUGAUAAUGGAGAAGAAACUCAGCCGUCUGGAGAGGAAGGCCAGGAGGAGAACGCCACGACUACGGAGACACAGCAGCGCAAGGAAAAGAAUGCUCUUAGCGCGAUGUGGGACCUCUUUGGUGAUGUGUACUGCCAAAACUCGGCAGGAGUCAAACUGAAUGAAUAUGUGCUCCAAAGAGAAAUGAUGGCCUAUGACAGUGAGGCCCCACCCCCGUCUGACAGCAACCCGCUGUCCUGGUGGAAGGAGAGAAGCCUCAAGUACCCCCAUCUCGCCCAGCUGGCAUGCGGCUACCUGGCAAUAUGGGGGACAUCUGUGAGGGCGGAACAAGUGUUUUCCACCGCGGGGAACAUAGUCACAAAGCAACGCUCUUCUCUAGAGCCAGAAAAUGUGAAUCACCUUGUCUUUUUGGCUAACAACCUAAAAAAGUCUGCAGCCAGAUAAACUGCAGCCAGCCAGAUAGCCCCCAAUGGCGAGUUCUAAUUUAGCCUAGGCUAGGCCUACAUGGUUGAUUGUUGGGGAUAUAGCCCUGCAUCUCGAAGUGUUCUAAUCUACAUGAUUGAUGGGGACUGGGGAGGGGAAUGCAUCCCGAGUGUUCGAUUUACAUCUCAAAGUGCCUUGUUCUUGGUAAUUGCUGUCAGAUUGCUAAUCGCUGGUAGGAUGUGCUUGUUUUGAAUAGGUCUACCAAAUAGGGCCUACCUUUAUUUAUUUUGUCUUUUCAGUACUUAGCCUGACUUUCUUAUUUUUAUUUAUUUUUGAUAAGAACAGUGGAUAAAACCCAGGUCUGACUUUUAAUUAAAAAAAAAACCUGUGAUUGUGUUUUUCUUCUGAAAACAUCAUUGCCUGCCUAUUGACAUUGACUGAUACACUGCCCUCUGGUGGACAGAACAUAUACAUCUUAAGUUUGACACCAAUGUAGGUCUUACUGAAGGCAUUUAAUGGUCAAAAUAUUAUUAAUAAAUAUUAGAAUAUAUUUUAAUAUUAAUAUUAAUAAACAAACAAACUUCGAAUAUGAUUUUUGGCCAAAAGUCAAAGCCCUAACUCGCAGUACGUUGCGACAAACCUAAAGACUUAAGGCUUCAGGACGGUACUCCACAAAGCAAUGGAUGACGUCACGAUAGGUUGACACUGGGUCAGAGGUCAGGGUCUGGAGCUGCCACUGCUUGUUACAACCUGUAAGUUCAAACUGUUUUCCCCAACAGACUGGUCGGCUGUCAGUUUACACACAAUGGCUGUGCUGUGCUGGCCUCCAGUCUGAAGUCAAACCCCGGACACCUGAGAGUCCUGGAUCUGACAAGAAAUGUCCUCCAAGACGUUGGUGUCGAAAACCUUUCUGAGUUCCUGGCAGAGCCACUUUGUCAGCUGGAGACACUUAAGUGAGUAUUAUAGCUAUGUUCACAUUUUGAAUAAAAGACACAUCUGCCACACA